UGUUCCAGCUGUUAGACUUAGAGAUGAAAUAUGACUCAGAGUAUUAAUCUCAGUAAGAACCAUUGAAAUGGAAAAUAAAUAACAUGGAAACUUAUGUGUAAUUAAAAGUUUAGUGAUAACGUUUCUUUUUUCAGCAAAACAUUGUACUGCUCAGAGCCAAGCAGUCAUUUAGGUACCUGCUAAAAAUUCACAAAACAUUUUUUGUGGCACUGGGUAGUAGAUUAUUGUUUUUCUCUUAGGUGGUGACAGUUGUUCCUAAUGCCAAGAAUCAUUUGCAACUACUACUCUUGUUGCUUAAGGCAGGACAAAGGUUGGACCAGCAUCAGAGAUAAAAUAAAGAGAGGCAAAAAGAGUUACUUGAAUUUGGCAUUCUGCAGUAAGCGAUACACAAGAAGGUGACUUCAGAAGUCUGCAUCUCCCUACCGUGCCAGUUGUCCUACAUCUGAAAUUUCACAGUAUUUAGAUUUUCAAGUCCAAACGCAAUGAAUUGCAUCUAAAUACUUGAGCUUGUUGUUCAAGAUCACGCACAAAUUAUGUAGUCAAGAUGGGGGAAGAGCCAAAUAUUUUGUCUCACUGUCCUGUACACUAACCUUUCACUGUACUUAGUACUUCUAUUAAUAAUUAUCAAAUGUUCAUCUGUAUUAAAGCAGGUAUUUCCUCACAUUGAAUUCUACCUGGUGAUCUUUUAGGGAGAUAAUAUUUUGUACUGUUAGUACAACUCAC
rnacentral:lncRNA from 1 species